CCGAGGCCAGCACGUGGGGGAUCCAGGCCGCGACGCACCCAGGCGGAGGCCACAACGGCGCGGUCCGUCCCGGACCAAGAGAGAGACACACGGAAGGCGACACGUACCACGUGAGCCGACCAAAGCUCGCCCGUGCUGCGGCCCUGAGACUCCGCGAGCGUGCAAGAGACGGUGGAGCACCCGAGGCAGCCGGCGGCGAUUCCUCGCCCGGCCGCUCUCCGCUCCUCGGCGUCGCCGGUGCAAAUGCCUGCGCCGAGACCGCAGCAGCAGCUCCUCGCGGCGGCGUGGAGCCUCGGCCUGCUCUGCCUCGCCGCCGCGGAAGGUGGAGGCGGCUCCUGCGAGCUCUCGGUCGAGCGCGGUGGCGCGCUCUACAACUUCAGCCUCGCGGCGCCGACGCCGGCCCACCGCCACGGCGUCCUCAGCGAGGAUGGGUUUUACAAAGUGGCCAUGAACGAUUCAGUCAUCUGGUUCCAGCUCUGCGAUCAGAUGAUAUUCAACUUUGACCCACCUGUCUGUCUUCACUGUGAGGACUGUGGUGGUCCAUUGCGGUGUGGCACCCAAUGCAGCGCACUUGCGUCAAAUAACAUUGGAGGGUAUGAUGUUUGUACAACCAUUGGAAGGGCAUCUGGAUCCCAUAUAUCUCUAAUAGAUGACGGUAAUCCCCAAAAGGGUGUCAUUUUCAAGAUGUUUUCAUCAAAGUGUUCUAUUUCUGUUUUCAUCUUCUGUGAUUCAGCUGUAGCCCAACUACCAGAUAAAUUUACCCAAUCUGGAAGUUGUGAUUACGUUACGAUACUUAGACACCCUUCUGGGUGUGCAAGAUCAGUGUCUGAUGCUGGAAAUGGCUGGGGAUGGUUAGGCACUUCGUUCAUAACAAUUUUGUGCCUUCUUGGAGGGUACAUUCUGAUUGGUGCAAUCUAUAGAUAUUAUUUCCUCGGCAUUCAUUCUGUAGAGGCCAUUCCGAACCUGGAAUUUUGGAUCAGUUUGCCACAGAGAAUUAAGAGCAUGUUUGUUCGUUCAAGAAGAAACCCAAGAAGUCAGAGCAGAGACACUAGAGGACCAUACACCACUGUAAACCACUGAGAAGUAGAAAAAUCCAAUACCAGUAUUGGCAGUCAUACAGUGAACAAGCUUGCAGAGGCCGGGGGUAUUCCUCCUUUUCGAAAAAAAAUACAGUGAACAAGCAUAUGUGGAUUGGGGUGAAAGCAAAACCUUUGAUCUCUGCCCAUAUGCCAGGCCAAAGAAUGAAGUUGAUUCUAUGAUCUGCAUCAUACGAUUGUCCUGUUUAAAGGAACUUGUAGAAUUCUGAUGUUUCUGCAUCAUAGUUUGUGAGUACUGUAGACAACAUGAUGCUUGUGCUCGGCGCAGGGCAAGCGAAAAAACAAGAUUUAGACAUUCAGUGUCUGCUUAUUUACUUCUAUUAUAAGGUGUGGAAGCCACAGGACUUCUGGUACUGGCCACAGCUUUUGGCAGAUAAUAUGAAUCAGGAGGAGUGGACAUGGUGAAGUAAUGUGAUGUGACGUUAUUACGAAUAGAGGAACCUAUUAUCAUAGGGAAGCAUGGUAAUUUGCUCCCUUCCUUGCCAUUCUUUUAGCCCAGAAAGUGAUGCAACUAUUUUUCGUGAGCCGGCACAAGAGGGAAUCAUUUUCCUGGCUGUGUUUUGAAGCUGGAGCUUUCAUUUUCUUUUGUACAGAUAAAGAUGCUUGUUUAUACUCUACUAGUGGGAUCUUUAUGCAUUUGUCAUUUUCAGAAUAUGAACGUGCCACAGGAUAGUUUCUAAGCUGCAGUUGCGCAAUUGUGCCACGUGCUGUUCCUGGGCUCUGGCGCAGAUGACUAGUGGUUUGGUUACAAUUUAACAGAUUCCCCUUUUACGGAUUCAUGAAAUUUCCAUGAUCACUUGGCGUUCUCUUGUCUGUUCUGUGCUGCUUUUGUCCUUGGCAAAUCAAAUUCUGCGGACUCAAGGCCUUGUGGGUAUUGGAGGCUUCAUUUUUGAAAGGACCGAUCUAAUGCCAUCUGCGAUGUUGUUGAUCUGAAUUUAUGUAUUGCCACUGCUGCCACAAAGAUACUGAUAUGUGUUGACGUUUGGAUCAUCAAACCAAGCAGCUUUCGAUGAAAACAGUUUGUGCUGCCGAAUAUUCUGUUCAUGAUGCUGUAGACUGGACGAAUUAUGAGGAUGGCAGAGGAGUCACGGACUCGAACUGGGAACUACGUAUAUGCUUCCUGUGUUCCGGAAGUAUAGGAGCUGACAUUUUCUUCUUCUUUUUGCGGUUUUUUCUUGUACUCUUUGUUUGGGGAGAAAGACUAUUGCGUGAACUACCGACAACUGUAUCUUCUCUUGCGACCCAGCAAAUAAAUAAAACAGAAGUGGAUCUGGGUUGUGUGUA